UAAGAGGGCCUCCUGGUCUCCUAUUAAAUUAAAGAAAUUAAAGAAUUCCUUUUUAACAGAGGACAGGGAUUGUUUCAAUUUUGGUUUUAUAUCUUUAGUGUCUAACUCAGGACCUUGUGCUUGGUUUGUCCCAGAUCAUCUGUGGUCAAAUUUGAACCCAGGACCUCUUGUCUCCAGACCUGGCUUUCUAUCCACUCAGCCACCUACCUGCCCAGCCCGGUCUGCACCCUGAUUUGUUAUUCUUUUUCUAGAAAAAGCUAAACUGGGGUGAAUAUGGUCAUUUCUAUUUGCACUAUUCAGAUACCAGCUAAAACGGGAAAAACCAUGAGUUGGAAAUGGUUUUGUAAAUUGUUUCUAACAGUCAAGUUCAUCCCAAUAGUUGUUCUUUAGGGUUAAUGUAAAUCUGCAAUGUUCUGCUUUAGUUCUAAAUACUGUACAUAAAGUCUGGAAACUGCAAUAAAUGUGAUUUUAAUAACUCAAAAA